AAUCAUCUAUACUUUCAGCAAACCUUCUCUUAAUACUAGAUAAUUCUGCCAAACUAAUUUUGGAGUGUCCUUCGUAAAACUGUUCAUGGAACUUCUUUUCUAAUUUGGCCCAUGAGUCGAUUGAACUUGGGGCCAACGAAGUAAACCAUGUGAAGGCAGCCUUGGUCAGAGAGGAGGGGAAGUUUUUUACUCUUAAACAUUCAUUAUGAGCUAGAUCCCCUGACUCUGUUAAGUAUCUGGCGACGUGCUCUAUUGUCGAUUCACC
rnacentral:lncRNA from 1 species